GACGAACGCUGGCGGCGUGCUUAACACAUGCAAGUCGAACGAAGAGCGAUGGAGGCUUGCUUCUAUCAAUCUUAGUGGCGCACGGGUGAGUAACGCGUAAUCAACCUGCCCUUCAGAGGGGGACAACAGUUGGAAACGACUGCUAAUACCGCAUACGAUCUAAUCUCGGCAUCGAGGAUAGAUGAAAGGUGGCCUCUACAUGUAAGCUAUCACUGAAGGAGGGGAUUGCGUCUGAUUAGCUAGUUGGAGGGGUAACGGCCCACCAAGGCGAUGAUCAGUAGCCGGUCUGAGAGGAUGAACGGCCACAUUGGGACUGAGACACGGCCCAGACUCCUACGGGAGGCAGCAGUGGGGAAUCUUCCGCAAUGGACGAAAGUCUGACGGAGCAACGCCGCGUGAGUGAUGACGGCCUUCGGGUUGUAAAGCUCGGUUAAUCGGGACGAAAGGCCUUCUUGCGAAUAGUGAGAAGGAUUGACGGUACCGGAAUAGAAAGCCACGGCUAACUACGUG
rnacentral:rRNA from 1 species